rnacentral:rRNA from 1 species
CCGUAGGUGAACCUGCGGAAGGWUCAUUA